GAUGAACGCUGGCGGCGUGCUUAACACAUGCAAGUCGAACGGUGAAGGCGGAGCUUGCUCUGCUGGAUCAGUGGCGAACGGGUGAGUAACACGUGAGCAAUCUGCCCCUGACUCUGGGAUAAGCGCUGGAAACGGCGUCUAAUACUGGAUACGAGCUGCGAAGGCAUCUUCAGCAGCUGGAAAGAAUUUCGGUCAGGGAUGAGCUCGCGGCCUAUCAGCUUGUUGGUGAGGUAAUGGCUCACCAAGGCGUCGAUGGGUAGCCGGCCUGAGAGGGUGACCGGCCACACUGGGACUGAGACACGGCCCAGACUCCUACGGGAGGCAGCAGUGGGGAAUAUUGCACAAUGGGCGAAAGCCUGAUGCAGCAACGCCGCGUGAGGGACGACGGCCUUCGGGUUGUAAACCUCUUUUAGCAGGGAAGAAGCGAAAGUGACGGUACCUGCAGAAAAAGCGCCGGCUAACUACGU
rnacentral:rRNA from 1 species